rnacentral:rRNA from 1 species
CAAUAGCGUAUAUUUAAGUUGCUGCAGUUAAAAAGCUCGUAGUUGGAUUUCGGGUGGGAAUGGCCGGUCCGCCGUUUCGGUGUGCACUUGCUACGCCCACCUUGCUGCCGGGGACGUGCUCUUGAGUUCACGCUCGGGACACGGAUUCGGCGAGGUUACUUUGAGUAAAUUAGAGUGUUCAAAGCAGGCCUACGCUCUGAAUACAUUAGCAUGGAAUAACACGAUAGGACUCUGGCCUAUCUUGUUGGUCUGUAGGACCGGAGUAAUGAUUAAGAGGGACAGUCGGGGGCAUUCGUAUUUCAUUGUCAGAGGUGAAAUUCUUGGAUUUAUGAAAGACGAACUACUGCGAAAGCAUUUGCCAAGGAUGUUUUCAUUAA